rnacentral:rRNA from 1 species
AGAGUUUGAUCAUGGCUCAGAUUGAACGCUGGCGGCAGGCCUAACACAUGCAAGUCGAACGGUAACAGGAAGAAGCUUGCUUCUUUGCUGACGAGUGGCGGACGGGUGAGUAAUGUCUGGGAAACUGCCUGAUGGAGGGGGAUAACUACUGGAAACGGUAGCUAAUACCGCAUAACGUCGCAAGACCAAAGAGGGGGACCUUCGGGCCUCUUGCCAUCGGAUGUGCCCAGAUGGGAUUAGCUUGUUGGUGGGGUAACGGCUCACCAAGGCGACGAUCCCUAGCUGGUCUGAGAGGAUGACCAGCCACACUGGAACUGAGACACGGUCCAGACUCCUACGGGAGGCAGCAGUGGGGAAUAUUGCACAAUGGGCGCAAGCCUGAUGCAGCCAUGCCGCGUGUAUGAAGAAGGCCUUCGGGUUGUAAAGUACUUUCAGCGGGGAGGAAGGGAGUAAAGUUAAUACCUUUGCUCAUUGACGUUACCCGCAGAAGAAGCACCGGCUAACUCCGUGCCAGCAGCCGCGGUAAUACGGAGGGUGCAAGCGUUAAUCGGAAUUACUGGGCGUAAAGCGCACGCAGGCGGUUUGUUAAGUCAGAUGUGAAAUCCCCGGGCUCAACCUGGGAACUGCAUCUGAUACUGGCAAGCUUGAGUCUCGUAGAGGGGGGUAGAAUUCCAGGUGUAGCGGUGAAAUGCGUAGAGAUCUGGAGGAAUACCGGUGGCGAAGGCGGCCCCCUGGACGAAGACUGACGCUCAGGUGCGAAAGCGUGGGGAGCAAACAGGAUUAGAUACCCUGGUAGUCCACGCCGUAAACGAUGUCGACUUGGAGGUUGUGCCCUUGAGGCGUGGCUUCCGGAGCUAACGCGUUAAGUCGACCGCCUGGGGAGUACGGCCGCAAGGUUAAAACUCAAAUGAAUUGACGGGGGCCCGCACAAGCGGUGGAGCAUGUGGUUUAAUUCGAUGCAACGCGAAGAACCUUACCUGGUCUUGACAUCCACGGAAGUUUUCAGAGAUGAGAAUGUGCCUUCGGGAACCGUGAGACAGGUGCUGCAUGGCUGUCGUCAGCUCGUGUUGUGAAAUGUUGGGUUAAGUCCCGCAACGAGCGCAACCCUUAUCCUUUGUUGCCAGCGGUCCG